rnacentral:rRNA from 1 species
UACGUAGGGGGCUAGCGUUGUCCGGAAUCAUUGGGCGUAAAGAGCGUGUAGGCGGUCCGGUAAGUCCGUUGUGAAAGUCAAGGGCUCAACCCUGGAAUGCCGGUGGAUACUGUCGGGCUCGAGUCCGGAAGAGGCGAGUGGAAUUCCCGGUGUAGCGGUGAAAUGCGUAGAUAUCGAGAGGAACACCUGAGGUGAAGACGGGUUGCUGGGACGACACUGACGGUGAGUGCGCGAAAGCCAGGGGAGCAAACGGG